rnacentral:rRNA from 1 species
UACGAAGGGUGCAAACGUUGCUCGGAAUUAUUGGGCGUAAAGCGCACGUAAGCGGCAUUGCAAGUCGGAUGUGAAAUCCCUCGGCUUAACCAAGGAAGUGCAUCCGAAACUGCAGUGCUUGAGUACUUAAGAGGAUCGCGGAAUUCCCGGUGUAGAGGUGAAAUUCGUAGAUAUCGGGAGGAACACCAGUGGCGAAGGCGGCGAUCUGGGAAGAUACUGACGCUGAGGUGCGAAAGCGUGGGGAGCAAACAGG